GACAGAGGGGGCAAGCGUUGCUCGGAAUCACUGGGCGUAAAGGGCGCGUAGGCGGGAUGGCAAGUCGGUCGUGAAAUCCUUCGGCUCAACCGAAGAACGUCGGCCGAUACUGCCGUUCUUGAGGGAUGCAGAGGAGAUUGGAAUUCCCGGUGUAGCGGUGAAAUGUGUAGAGAUCGGGAGGAACACCGGUGGCGAAGGCGGUCUGCUGGGCAGUUGCUGACACUGAGGCGCGACAGCGUGGGGAGCAAACAGG
rnacentral:rRNA from 1 species